UGCCCAGUAUCGCUUAUCCCUACCUCCUCCCGGUACUGGCCGGGGUACGAGUGACCUUAGGGAAUAUCAGAUAACCAACCCCGGUGGGAACUUUGGUCGUAUGCUGACAGGGAAG
rnacentral:ribozyme from 1 species